UCAAACUAGAGUGUACUUCGGCCUGCUAGCUCUACCAUGUCUUUUGAGUACGUACUGUUUCCUCGGCGGGUCUCGCCUGCCGGUUGGACAUUAUCAAACCUUUUUGUCGUUGCAAUCAGCGUCUAGAAAAUACUUAAUAAGUUA
rnacentral:misc_RNA from 1 species